UAUACCAGCAGACUGGCAGAUUCCCAACAGAAAGAACUCCCCACCUGGAGAACCUGCGAUCUGAAAGUCAGACAAGAAUCUCUGAACUGAGACACAGGUCUGUACAACAGCCAGAAACAAUGGGGUGCUUCUGCUUGGUGCUCCCUCAACAGACCUAAUGAAGAAGUAUAGAUUGGGAAUCUUAUUGUUGCUUUUUGAUGUAGUUUUGUGGAAAUGCAUCUCAGCAAAGCCCGGAGUUAAGAAUGAUAAGGGGAAAUUCUAUUUGAAAAAAAAUAUUUUGGCCUUUUAUGUGGAGUCUCACACUCUGCAUGUGUCUUGCCUAUGGAAGUCAUCCUUGAGCAUGGUGUGCCCAUGUGAUGCACCUGAAAAUAUAGGAUGGUCAUGAGCAAUGGGUUGCAAAUGGAGUUGCAUCACCAGUGGGGAGAUGUGGUGGCCAAUAAAAUUUUUCAGGAUCUGGCCUUAGCUGUCCAUGGGCAAAUAAACAGCAGGCUGCAUCGCUGCCCUACACUCAGGUCUCUCUUCCAAGAGGGAGAAGAGGUUCUGACAAACCUUUCCUGGUGGUAAGUGCAACUGGUUGUGAUGUGACAGCUGGCAGAAAAUACAGGUGAGAGUGCUUCUUUACACAAACCAGAGUUCACACCCAAGCCCCUUCUCAAUCCUGUGUUUAGUGAUGUGGAUGUGCCUGCUGUAUGAAGGAAGUGCUGACUUUUGGCUCUGCUAGUGGUAACGAAGGGUUACAGAAAUGCUGAAACUCAAAAAUACAAACAUAAAUACCAGGCCUCCAGCCCAUCCACUGGGCAUUUCUAAUUGUCAGGUGAAUGGAUGAGAAGUGUUGUGAUAAAUGUCAUGUAUCUUUUGGGUUGUUACACAAUGGUGAUAAGGAAAAAGGCAAGACACAGAAAGGGGAAAGCUGAGGCUGCCUGUCUCUACUUGGGAAAUAACAAGCCCUUCAUUAAAAAUGCCUUUUAAAAUGUUAUCUGGAAUUUAUAAGAUGGCAGGGUUAGUCCUGAAAAGACUGAGUUUUGAAGCACCACUGGUGAAUAUUAUGUUGCUGCCAGGGCUUUGCACACACUGACACUCAGGAUCAGUGACAGACAGGCAAAAGCACAGGUAAAAGCUGGACAGAUGAGAAAGUGCUCCCAUGCUCAGCCUAUGCCAGUUGCUGCUGUCAGAAUGGCUUUCUGUCCUUGCAGGCAACUUGCAACUGGGCUUCAGCUCAGUGUUCCUGAUAUUUAAUUGCCAAAAUGAAAACCAUAUAUGUUUGUAAAUACUGGAUUACUCAGAAUGCCAUUGCCAAGGGGCCGAAAUACUAACAUAAGGUGAGACUGAUAGCAGUUUAAUUUUCCAGGUUGCACACUGUGGUGGCAAAGGCUUGCAUACAAUUCCCAUCUCUCCUAAUGCCUCCAUAUACAGACCUACAACAAUAAACCUCCUAAAUAGUCCCAGAGGGACUUGCAGGAGCUAAUAAGUCAAGGAUUUACAGUGCUAUAUUCAGGCAAUAGAGUUUGCAGAAACAGCAUUGAUCCUGCUAGGAGAAUUAUAUUAGGACUUUGAUCCUAUCUCAUUACUUACUUUCAUAAGAAAACUUGCAUACAUGAUGUUAUUUUUCUACCUUUAUGGCUAUUCUCAUAUGGCCAUUUCAAGGGAGGCUCUUCUAAUGUCUCCUUUAAUGUCUCUUGCCAACUCAGGGUGGCAAAAAUGACCCCAUGGCAUGUCAUUAGCUCUGGCCAUAGCUUGAUGUGUGUGUGUGCAGGCUUUGAUUAGGUAGAGACUGCUCAAUGACAACAAUUUUGCAAGCACUGUGUACAUGACGUGGGAGUUACUGUGGGUUAUUGCUGAAAUUUGCGGUGUCAUGGGUAGUAUGUAGGCAUUCUUCAAAGCCUCAUGUACUCAGGAAAGUUUCAAUGGUUUAACUUAAAACAAGUUUCACACUGGGGAAAACUACAAUACUUGGUUUCAGUUUAAAUGAGAUUUAUUUUAAUGUCAGCUCUUGGGGGAGAGCUAUUUUUUCUUUUUGUACCAAAAUAAGUGGAACUAAAUGAAAGGUGUGUGCCUACAAGCAAGCUGGAUGCCCUGGCACAGGUGUUGAGGCCCUAGAUUUACAUAGAGACAUUGUUUUUCUUGAAAGCCUGUCAGUCAGUGUGGUCAGAGAGGAGUGCCAGACACAUCCAGACACAUUCUAACAUCACAGUGUGAAGGAAUUGUCUUCCGGAGCCAGAGCUAAGGCCACUGAGAAAGGAAGA